AUACGUAGGGGGCGAGCGUUGUCCGGAAUUACUGGGCGUAAAGGGUGCGUAGGCGGCCCUUUAAGUCAGAUGUGAAAGCCCGCAGCUUAACUGCGGAAUUGCAUUUGAAACUGGAGGGCUUGAGUGUCGGAGAGGGUAGUGGAAUUCCCAGUGUAGCGGUGAAAUGCGUAGAUAUUGGGAGGAACACCAGUGGCGAAGGCGACUGCCUGGACGAUAACUGACGCUGAGGCACGAAAGCUAGGGGAGUAAACAGGAUUAGAUACCCUGGUAGUCCUAGCCGUAAACGAUGGGUACUAGGUGUAGGUGGUUUCGAUACCAUCUGUGCCGUAGUUAACGCAUUAAGUACCCCGCCUGGGGAGUACGUGCGCAAGCAUGAA
rnacentral:rRNA from 1 species